rnacentral:lncRNA from 1 species
UGAAAACAAGCAGCAUCUAUGGGUACGUAAUUGAUGGCCGGGACACACACGACAUAAGAGAUACCUUAAGGAGCUCCAUGGCGUGGACGCCCAUGGAAGAGGCGGCACACAACAGUCUGCGCCUGAGGACACCAACAUUGUCAAGUUAGUAUGCUUGGUUAGUAUCAUCAACCUGAAGAUAAAUCUGCUGCAGAGUUUUAUGUUUCAUGAAGAAGGAACUAAAAGUUUCAGAUUUCUGCAGUUUUGUCUGUCUGUGAAGAUAAGUUGCAGCAAGCAAGCAAGCAAGCAAGCAAAAUAUGGAGUAUCAAGUUUCCUAGUGCUCCCUCAAAUUGUAAGAUUUGCUAUGCAUGCUCGUGUCAGUAUUUUAUUUUAGUUUUUGAAGGAAUUUGCGCAUGUGAAGAUUUCGGUAUGAGAUACAUGGAGGUUUUUCAGAGUUGUUUUUUUCUUUCUGUAAUACAUGUGAAGAAUUGGGUAUGAAAAAUGGAGCUUUUUUCAUAGUGAAAAGUGAUCUUUUUGGUGUCGUUUUGUUGUUGCUCUAAUCGGCAUGUAUCUCAUACUGGAAGACUUUGGUAAUUGAGGGUCGGGACAUGAGAGAGAGCAGACUGAGUUACCUUGACGGUCUCCAUGGCGUCCGCAGCGGCAGCGGGGUCUCGGAAUAGAAACAUUACCAAGUUAGUAUCAACCUGAAGAAUAAUCUGCAGAGUUGCAAGUCCGAAUACAAGUUGCAGCAGCAAGCAAACACGGAUAGAUGGGCAUUGACAAGCUCACCGCGAUUAUUUUGCAGCCAGUGCCGAACAACGCCGUGCCUCAUUGCUCCAAGGGAGACACACACGAUGAGCCCCUUGUCCUCUGCAUUUACCGGGGAUGAUGCAGUACCGAAUCAAUCAUGCUGCUGCACAAGGACAUGAUAAAUAACAAAUCUUGAGUCAAAUGGAAAAUCUUGAGCUCCAAUCAUAAUGAGAGAAAAGAGGAAAUCAUGCCUUUUCAUCAGCGGAGAGAGCCUGAGGACAACGACGCCAUCCAGUGCAUCUUCAUCAGCGAAGAAAGCACGAGGACGACGGCGCCGUCUUGUGCAUCUUCAAGCCCAAACCGUGUCAACUUCUGCAGCACCGCUUGGCAAGAGAAAAUGACCGGUGUCGUGCGCGAUGGAGAUUUCCCAUCAUCUCCGGUAGGUUUGACGGAUGAAAGGAGUAUCUUCCUGAGGAAUGCAAUCUGGGUGGACAUAAAAAGAUCAGUCUAGUGCAGAGGAAAAGAGGAAUGUCAGAUUUCUCAACAGUAAGCCACACAACAAUUCUCUUGUGUCAAAGGGAAUUUACAGGAAUUAACAAGACAACAUCUUCCCCUAAAAACAAUGCAUACUUAUUCACCAGCCUAGGAAUGCAAAGUGCUCGUUCCAGUUCCACACAAUGAAAGUUAAGUGUUGGACCUGAUCAAGACAAGACAAAAUUGCCAUAGAUAGGCUCACUUGUGUGACCAGCAGAAGAAUUUUCGCUACAAGAUCUCAUCUUGGCUUGUCAAAUCUCAUACUAGAAAAAUUAUUGCACACUAGUGAAAACAAGCAACAUCUCCGGGUAAUUGACGACCGGGACACGCAGGACAUGAGAGACAGAGAGAGCAAAGAGAGAUACCUUGACGAUCUCCAUGGCGUCGGCAGCGGGGUCGAAGCAGCUGUUGCGUCCAUGGAAGAGGCGGCACACAGUGGUCUACACCUGAGGACACCAACAUUAUCAUGUUAGUAUGUGUCGUUAGUAUCAACCUGAAUAUAAAUCUGCUGCAAAGUUUUCAGUUUUCUGAAGAAAGAAGGAACUAAAAGUUUCAGGUUUUUGCAGUUUAGUCGCCUCUGAACAUAAAUUGCAGCAAGCAAGCAAGCAAAUAUGGAUGGGCAUGAGAGGGAGUAAGGGCCACUGAUGAUGAAUGCUGAACUAGGAUGAGCAGAGCCUGCACUCACCACCCACAUAGAAGGCAAUGACAGAAUCCCUUCCCCUGGCACGAGCUUCGGAUCAGCGGUGGCAAUUGUUCUUGCCUAAUGAGGAUCCUCCAUGGACAAGGGAAGGUGUCAUCAGACCACCGUAGUCCAAUUAGUGCUAUACGGCCUGCACAAGGAUCACACGAGACAUGCAUGGUGAAUGCUACAGAAAAACAAGACAAGCGUUUGCUCCAUCGUGGGAGCAGCGGCGACCCGGGAAUAAGCAGACCCGGAGGAGCGAAGCGGCGGUCUUCUAAGUCAAAUCGAAACCACCACACAAGCACUUGACAAAGCAGCAUCAAAAGCUGCCGGAAUGCAACAUCACAAGCACUUGAGUUACAGUCAAGACCGUCGAAAAAAGGGAACGUCAGGCCAUAGUAAGGUUGCUGCGAUGGUGAUUCGAUAAAGCAUCACAUACUUUUCUGUACAGAGGGCUCCUCUUUUCGUACUUGAGGGAGUUCCUCUCCUCCACCAAAUCCGUCAUCUCCUCUUUCAAAACAUUGUUAUCAGCGGGAUGGAGUGCUCCUUCCGCGAGGCGGGCGUCUGGAACGGCGAUUCAUAUCAUGUCCUUGAUGUCCUGCACUCCACCUUGGUCAUCAUUGAGGGUGUCUGUUGGGCAAACAUCAACGUCAAAGCAGAGAAAUGGAGUCACACCAAGGGACAUGGCAGCAUUUAAGAAAUGGAAAUACAUAACUAGUACUCCCUCUGUAAAGAAAUAUAAGAGCGUUUACAUCACCGCUUUAGUGAUCUAGACGCACUUAUAUUUGUUUACAGAGGGAGUAUAUGUGAUAGUGUUACCAGUGCAAGAGAGAGUAAUUCCAAUCUUACGCAAUUUGAAUAUCAUGUUUAUCUUACUAUUACAAGUGUGUGUUUAUUAUAAACGACAUGGCAGGCAGCUCAGGUCUGCACCUGUCAUCAUUUUGCCCAUACAUAUACAUACAUACAGCAAGAGAGGCAAAACUUAGCAGAUUGGAAGGCUUGUUGUACAGGGGCAUGAUCACAAACGAAAUAGUAGAGUAGUAUUUCAGGAUGGUGCUAUAUAUUCUGUAGCAAACAAAGUUGUACGCUCCAUACAAAGUGAUGUAAUAAUACCAGACAUAAUUGCCAUAGAAAGGCUAGCAUGUGGGAAUCCCUACAAGAGCUCAUGUUGUCUUGUCAAAUCUCAUACUGGGCACACACACACAAAUUGUUGCACUAGUGAACACAAGCAGCAUCUAUGGGUUCGUAAUUGAUGGCCGGGACACACACGACAUAAGAGAUACCAUAAGGAGCUCCAUGGCAUGGACGCCCAUGGAAGAGGCGGCACACAACAGCCUGCGCCUGAGGACACCAACAUUGUCAAGUUAGUAUUCUUGGUUAGUAUCAUCAACCUGAAGAUAAAUCUGCUGCAGAGUUUUCAGUUUCCUGAAGAAGGAAGGAACUAAAAGUUUCAGAUUUCUGCAGUUUUAUCUGUCUGUGAAGAUAAGAUGCAGCAAGCAAGCAAGCAAGCAAAAUAUGGAGUAUCAAGUUUCCUAGUGCUCCCUCAAAUUGUAAGAUUUGCUAUGCAUGCUCGUGUCAGUAUUUUAUUUUAGUUUUUGAAGGAAUUUGCUCAUGUGAAGAUUUCGGUAUGAGAUACAUGGAGCUUUUUCAGAGUUGUUUUUUUCUUUCUGUAAUACAUGUGAAGACUUGGGUAUGAAAAAUGGAGUUUUUUUCAUAGUGAAAAGUGAUCUUUUUGGUGUCGUUUUGUUGUUGCUCUAAUCGGCAUGUAUCUCAUACUGGAAGACUUUGGUAAUUGAUGGUCGGGACAUGAGAGAAAGCAGACUGAGUUACCUUGACGGUCUCCAUGGCGUCCGCAGCGGCAGCGGGGUCUCGGAACAGCAACAUUACCAAGUUAGUAUCAACCUGAAGAAUAA